CAGCAGUGGGGAAUAUUGCACAAUGGGCGCAAGCCUGAUGCAGCGACGCCGCGUGAGGGAUGGAGGCCUUCGGGUUGUAAACCUCUUUUGUUAGGGAGCAAGGCACUUUGUGUUGAGUGUACCUUUCGAAUAAGCACCGGCUAACUACGUGCCAGCAGCCGCGGUAAUACGUAGGGUGCAAGCGUUAUCCGGAAUUAUUGGGCGUAAAGGGCUCGUAGGCGGUUCGUCGCGUCCGGUGUGAAAGUCCAUCGCUUAACGGUGGAUCCGCGCCGGGUACGGGCGGGCUUGAGUGCGGUAGGGGAGACUGGAAUUCCCGGUGUAACGGUGGAAUGUGUAGAUAUCGGGAAGAACACCAAUGGCGAAGGCAGGUCUCUGGGCCGUUACUGACGCUGAGGAGCGAAAGCGUGGGGAGCGAACAGGAUUAGAUACCCUGGUAGUCCACGCCGUAAACGGUGGAUGCUGGAUGUGGGGCCCGUUCCACGGGUUCCGUGUCGGAGCUAACGCGUUAAGCAUCCCGCCUGGGGAGUACGGCCGCAAGGCUAAAACUCAAAGAAAUUGACGGGGGCCCGCACAAGCGGCGGAGCAUGCGGAUUAAUUCGAUGCAACGCGAAGAACCUUACCUGGGCUUGACAUGUUCCCGACGAUCCCAGAGAUGGGGUUUCCCUUCGGGGCGGGUUCACAGGUGGUGCAUGGUCGUCGUCAGCUCGUGUCGUGAGAUGUUGGGUUAAGUCCCGCAACGAGCGCAACCCUCGCCCCGUGUUGCCAGCGGAUUGUGCCGGGAACUCACGGGGGACCGCCGGGGUUAACUCGGAGGAAGGUGGGGAUGACGUCAGAUCAUCAUGCCCCUUACGUCCAGGGCUUCACGCAUGCUACAAUGGCCGGUACAACGGGAUGCGACAGUGCGAGCUGGAGCGGAUCCCUGAAAACCGGUCUCAGUUCGGAUCGCAGUCUGCAACUCGACUGCGUGAAGGCGGAGUCGCUAGUAAUCGCGAAUCAGCAACGUCGCGGUGAAUGCGUUCCCGGGCCUUGUACACACCGCCCGUCAAGUCAUGAAAGUGGGCAGCACCCGAAGCCGGUGGCCUAACCCCUUGCGGGAGGGAGCCGUCUAAGGUGAGGCUCGUGAUUGGGACUAAGUCGUAACAAGGUAGCCGUACCGGAAGGUGCGGCUG
rnacentral:rRNA from 1 species